rnacentral:lncRNA from 1 species
GGACCGCGCCAGGCGGAAGCCCGGCUCCGGGCCAGCAUCCGAGAGCCCGGACUGGAGUAUCUGAGAACAUAUUUCUUCCCUAUAGGAGUUGAGAAGAGGAGGAAGAAUAAUGGGAGGAGACAGGACCUUUUUCAACUUGACAAAUAGAUUUCUGAGAGAGCAGACACCAUCUUAUUUCUGUUGAAUUGUAUUUAGUAACUCAAAAGGCAUAUACCAAGCUGUCAGAAGCAGCUUCAUUUAAAAGAAAUAAAAUUUCUAGUCCUGCCUGAAGUUUAAGCUAGCCCAUGACUACACAAGUGCAACUGUAUUUCCCAGAAUUAAAGCAGCAGCCUUGGAUCCAGAGAUGGACGCCAAUUGAUGAAGACAGCAGAACUGACUGGCUAGUCUGGGUUCCCUGGAGCAGAGCUGUCUCUCCACCCUAGGUUAUCCACUUACUUUUGUACUGUUAUGUGAGAGAGAAAUAAACUUCUAUCUUCUUUAA